rnacentral:lncRNA from 1 species
AGCGCUCCAAACGCUAACCAUCUCUGUAUUUUGUAUCCCCACACGAUGCAGACACGAAAACUUCUACUUUUCCUGCGCAGUGAUCGGGUGCUCGAGUUAGUUCGUGAGUUGACGUUGUAGUGGUGAGAUUCCAUACUUAUAAGGGCUUCAUUUCAUGGUUCUUAUUUCCUAUAUCUUAGACCUUGUUUAAAAUUUAUUUUAUCUACUGUAUGACAUUUUAUUGAUUUCGAUUUGUAGAGGCUUUGUUGAAUUACUGUGAACUUGAGUUGUUUGGUUGAUUGUUUCGGUGAUGAACAAAUACCCGAUUACCGAUGAAUGCUAUAGACAUAUGAUGAAUCAUUACUGAUUUUAUUUUACAUCAUCUUGUUAUAUGUUUAAAAUUCAUCCAACACUUGCAAUUGUUGUGCUUGCUAGGUUAGGUGAAGGGGGUGAUCUCUGGUCCAUGUGGAACUUGAAAUACGGCCAGUGCCUAGUUUGAUUCAUGGCACAGAUUUUUCUAUCUGUGUGGCGAUGGAGAUUGUUAAUUCCAACACUAAGAAUCAAGAAUAUGAAAGGUUAUGAUCGAUUAUGAUUUAUUUCCUAAGUAUUGCAAAACAUACAAGCUUCAAGGGCAUGAUAAAAUGGAUUGUAUAGUGUUACAUCCGGAAUUGAAUCCACCUCUCUCAUGAGAAAAAGAGAUUAAGGAUAAUCAUUCUCAAAAGGUAGAAGCUGAAGUUUCUAAGUCGAAAACUUAUGAAGGAAGGUGGAUUGUGCCAAAUUUAAAAUGAAAUCCUACAAGAAGAUUCAUUAACAAGGGACACCUAAGUGUAAGAGCUUUGAGUCCAGAUAAAGGGUUAUGUGAUAAUAACAUUUUAAAUACUUUGACAGAGGAUGGAGUAAAUACAGAGAAUACAAAUAUGCACUUAUUAAAUCAAUAAAUGUAGUGCAAGAAAUACAAAAUAACAAGAUUGAGUAGCAAUCCACAAAGGAUGGCGUAUUUCCUUUAAAAGUAGCAGUAAUAAUAACUUGAGUUGAUAAAGCCCCUGCAAAAGAUAAGAGAAGAAGUGAGCAUCAAAAAUCAGAGGCAAUUAAAGAGACUAACACUAAAUUUUGAAAUUUCAUCCAGCAGUGAAAAUAGAGAAGAAAAAAAGAGGCAAUAUCGGUUGGCACCUUCAGAUUAGCAGACUCAACUAAAGGUAAAGCUAGGAAAGAGGUGGAAAAUAUAAACAAUAAAGGAAAAGAACCAGAAAAUGCUGUGUGUCCAGAGUCAGUCUACAAGUCAAAGUGAAUCACCUGUCUGAUCUCAACAGACUAAUAGUCCAAAGAAUGUAAUGAAGUCAAGAAAGAAUGUAAUGAAGUCAAGUCUUUUACCGAAUGUGUUGAACAUUGAUAAACUGGUGGAAGAAGCAAUUCAUUUUGAACUUUUACAAAAAGCAAAACUAGGGCAUCGUAGUAGCAUUUGCAAUAAUAAGGUGGUGAGUUCAAAUAUAGAUUAUUCACCUACAAUAGCAAAAUAUAAACAAUAUCAGUAGGCUAAUAAAGGGAAGAUGUGCAGUAAUAAAAAUAAUUUGGUCCAAAAUAGUGAUAAUAAAUUUGGCAUAAUCAACUCUCCUUUAGAUAUUUAUGAAUCAUUAGCUUAGAGUGCAGAACAUCCAAAUGUUACUCUUCAUAAUAUUCUCUCUCAUAAUAUUUCAGUUGUGAAUGAAGUUGAGCUGCUAGAAGACAACCUUGAUAAGUAAUAUUAAAAGAAUAAUAUCCUUAGGUAAGAAGAUCUAUCCCCUAAAGCUAUUAAAGCUAUUAAAUCAGGAAAGAAGGGAAAAAAGCAUGGCAAUGAUAGGUUUGUUUACCUACCAGGGUUCAAUCAAAGAGAAGUGGAGUGUCUUCUAAGAAAAUGCAUAAAAUAAAGGCUAUAAUUUGGAACAUCAGAUCAGUGAAGUCACGAAAGGAUCUCCAGAGGCUUCAUUUAUUACACAAGCUUUAUAAAUUUACAUGUUUUGCCUUAUCGGAGCCUUUACAACAUAUAGGAAUGAUCAACAAAUACAAAACUAGAAUUCAGAUGCCUCUAGUUUUUCACAACUACUCAAUAAAAAAAUUGUUCUUCGUCAAUCAUGUAUUUAAAGUAAAUAUUAUUAGUGACACAAAACAACGAAUUUCAUGUCAACUGAGUGAAAUAUCUAGUGGUCUAUGCUUCAUGGUGACAAUUGUCUAUGCAAAAUGUGAUGGGAAUCUAUGGUUGGAACUUUGGGAUGAUUUACUCUAUUUCCAAUGGACAGCCAGGUCCUUGAAUAAUAUAGGGUGAUUUCAAUAUUGUUCUUAAUGGAUCUGAGAAUAUUGGUGGAACUCUAGUUUCUUCUAUUGAUGUGGACAAUUUAUAGAACUACAUAGAGUCUUGUAAUGUUCACCAGGUGCAAUAUAAGGUAGCCCCUUUACUUGGUGGAAUGGCAGAGGAGGAGUUGAUUGUAAUUAUUAGAGACGAUAGAGUUUUAAUUAAUUCUAAGGUCCAGAAUAUUUUUCAUAUUUUGAGAUUGAAUAUUUAUCAAGAAAUAGAUCAGAUCAUGCUCAUUUGCUUCAUAAAUUUAAAAUAGAUCGGUCAAAACUCAAAGACCUUUUAAAUUUUUGAAGUUUUGGACUGACCAUGCAGAGUUCAAAGAGGGUUGGAAGAAAUUGGGAUACUAGUUUCACUGAGAAUACAUUUAUGGAUUUUAAAAGGAAGAUCAAGCAAGUGAAACAAGCCCUUACCAAGUGGAGUAUCCAAGUUCAUGCAGAUAUUUUUCAACAGCUUCUCAUUAGAGAGAAAAUUUCUAUAUUGAAGGAGAAGUUCUUUGAAGAUAACCCUACAAAGGAUAAUAGAAUUGUAAUGAAACACCCUAGAUUUUCGCCCUUGGAAAUUUCUUGAUCUUUGAGCUCACUACCUUGCUUAUGACUUGACCAUACGAUUCAUAUGGUGUCGUGACGGGUCAGGUGACCCUAGUAGUAAGUUGUCUAGUGGAUGGUGGUUGUGUUUUCUAUCUUGGUUGCAACUAUGUGAUAUGAGUCGUUAAGCGUGGUGAUGAGUACUUAGGACGAACCUUAACCAAAUUAGUAACUUAGUAGCUUGACUCUGCUCUGAGUAUGAGUGGCUCACUAGAAGUUGUGAGAAUAGGUUACAAGUCGUGAGGUGAAGUCAUAGGUUGUCCAGUGUCUGACCUAUUUGGGUACUGUGAUGGUUACGACUAGACCCUAUGAGUAGUUGGGUCAGGUCACAAGUGGAAUCAUGGAGUCGUAAGGUGGAUAGUGUAUGGGUAUCCAACUCACUGUCUAGGAUACGACUCAAGGCUACGAGUCGUAUUAUGCGGUGACGAGUCAUUGGGUUGACUCUUAACUAAAGAUGGCUUUUUACAGGUUUUAAGCUGGGGGUAUUUUGGACAUUUCCCACUUUAAUUCCCUUUGAUACCAUGCCUCAACACCUUCCUUGGGACUUCAUUUAACACAUCAUUCCUAAUAAAACACUCUUAAAUUAUAUCUCAAACCUCUGUUCAAGCUAAAGCUAGGGUUUCAUCAAGUUAAUCCAUUAGUGCUUUCAAGGGUGAUAUCUCUUCGUACAUCUUGGUGUCUAAGGAAUGUUACUCCUCCCUCAUUGUUAUUUUACUUACAACACAUGUUUUAAUGUAUGGCUUUCAUGGUAUUGAAAUGAAGACUGGGUUUUUUGAAUUCUUAAUGUUUAAUGAUGUUUUCAUAUGGUUUAAAGGUUUUCCAUGUUUUAAAUAUGGUUUUGAACAUGUGGGUGCAUGGGUAUGGAAAUUGAUAAUGGUAACUUUCUCUAAACUUGUGACUUUUGAAGUGGUUAUAACCCUAAACCUGUAUUGUGAAACUGGCUAGUAGUUAUGAGAAAUGUGGAAAUUUGAAUUAAAGGUACAAUGGAAUCCCCAAAGUGCUUGGUUUGACUUAUUUCUUGAAACUAAUGCAUGUUUUAAAGUGUUAAAUGGUGAAGUAUUGUUUUGAAAACCUAGUGGGGUACACGAGAAUCCCCUAAGUGAUUAUAUAAUGAAAACCUUAUCAAGUGUAUGAGAACCCGCCAAGCGAUUUUAACAAUGUAGUAUGCAGGGUACAUGGGAAUCCCCCAAGUAUUGGCUACUGACAUUACUUGCAAGCUAUAGUCGGUAUGACAAUACCACUUUAUAAUGCCUUAAUAAUUGACUCCUGGAAUUGGUGGUUUGGCUGUGUAAAAUGUUUUAAUUCGGAAAUAAUGGGGGUUAUGAUAGCUAGUCGUGAAGGUGUUAGCCCGAUGAACGGACACUGGAAACUCAUGUUUGCCAACAUGAUGGUUGGUCUUGAUGACCAUGUGCUUGUGGGGGGUACAAGGGAAUCCACCAAGUUUAUAGAUGUAUAUAUAUAUCAUGAAUGGUGAUGGGUACACGAGAAUCUGUGGCCUUCUAUGAUAUCUUUGGUUCGUGCAGCUACACAUAGUGGGGCUCGUUCAGGGCAUAACAUUGGACCCAUAUAGCCCGUGGGUGGACUUAUGACGAUAAAGCUACACAAUCCAAGUUAAGGAUUUAAAUGCAUGCCAAACCUUAUUCCCUAUCCCGACACAGUAUAUAUGUAUAUAUAUGGGACUGUAUAUGGUUAUUUGGCUUGUUUUUUAAUUGAUGGAAUUAUUUUAUCUUUAUACCUGAGUUAUAUGCUAGAGUUUACUUCGCUAACCAUCUUCAGGCGCUGUAUCCUCAUGCAAUGCUAGAGUUUGCCAUACUUUCACUCCUCCUACUCAAUGACUUGGUGAUUCGGGGACAACUUUUGAGUCAGAUUGAAGUAGUGAGCUUCCAUACUCCGAAAUACCCCAUUUUAUGCUAUUGACUUCUUUAUAUCAUUUUUAUCUCUUUGGUUUUGGGUUUGGAUGUGCUUGGGGGCAUGUCUCGAUAGGAUAUUCUCUAUAGGCAGAAAUUUUAAUGGACUACUAUAGGCAUGGGUGGUGUCGGCAUUAGUGAUUGCAUUAGUAUUGGUAUUGGCAUUCGGAUUGGUAUUGGAUGGUUAAUUUGUUGUGGCUUUGGAUUUUUAUUUUAGACUUAAUUUAAUGUCUAUAAUUUAAUAUUGUCUUGUUAUAUCUUUGUAAUUCAUCCGACAUAGGGCUUAGGGUGGUUAAUGGUUUGGGUAUUGGGGGUGGUUUCCGGUCCUGAUUGGACUUGAGAUACACGACACGACUAUGCUAUGGUUCGAGUCAUGUUAGAUUGGUAUCAGGGCCCUAGGUUCAUGAUCAAUUAGGUGUCCACAAAGCUGUGUCAAGUAGAGUAUCUUUUAAGGGUGUUUAGCAAGCCAAACUCAUAAGGGUUAUCUUUCUUGUGUUCUAUUUUUAGACUGUAGAGUCUAAGGUCCUAAAAUCUUCACUAAUUCCCUCUUGUUUACUUUUUAGAUCAUGCCUCCCAAAUGAUCUGAAGCUCACGAAAACUCCUCUGUCUCAUCCGAGGACAACAUUGAUGGUACAUGUCCUACUUAUAGGCUUCAGACCCAGUAUAGGUAUCCAAUUCCUGAUUGGUCUUCUGAAUGAACUCCACCAGUCCCCUCCAGUCCUUCUCGAGCUCCACAGACUAAUAUAAAGAAUGUCGAGUUUUGUCAGUCUAUUUAUGUGUUGCCAUAGUUGGUAGCUUCUUAGUCUGAGCGUCCAAGUGUCGUGCUUUUGUUACUCCAUCUUCUGAGGCCACAAGGGUUGGCUAGUUUAUGAGGUUGAACCCUCCAACCUUUACUUUUGUAAAGGUCGAGAAAGAUCCACAAAGUUUUCUUAAUGAGAUAGAAAAGAUAUUCAAUGUGAUACAUGCCACUAAUAUAGAGGGCGUGGAGUUUCCCGCCUACCAAUUAAUAGAUGUAGCUUAUCAGUGAUAGUAGGAAUGUGACCAGCCAAGGGGUGACAAUACUGAGUCAGCCCUGUGAGAUAAUUUUUCUAAUAUUUUUCUGGACUGCUUUUUUCCUCAAGAGCCGAGAGAGAUGAAAUCAAAAGAGUUUGUUAACCUAAAGCAAGGCAAGAUGUCAGUUAAGGAGUAUGACUUGAAGUUUCACCUAUUAUCCCGAUAUACACCGGAGUUGGUUUCUAGCAUAAGGGCUAGAAUGAGGAAGUUCGCUUUCAGGUUGUAUCUAGACUUGAUUUUAGAGAGUAAAGCUGCCUUGCUGAACAAGGACAGACAUCUCCAAGCUAACUGUGUAUAUGAAAUAGGUCGAGGAAGAGAAAAAAAAGUAGGCGAAGAUAGGGAGAGCAGAGCAAGAAGUUCAAAUUUUCUGAGCAGGGUGGAGGUUAACAAUAAAGUGUCAGGGUUGGUGGAAAGUGGUCUAAAAAGAAGGGGGCAAUUUUGGGUCCUACUCGACAGUUAGAGAUCCCUACCCAAAGUUGUCUGGUUAAAGACAUUUUCAGGGUGGUGAAAAUUACAAGGUACAGGGUGCCCAAUCUCAAGCUAGUGGGGCCCAAUCAGCUCCAUCAUAUCCUCCCUACAAAUUUUGUGGUCAACUAUAUUGGGAUUUCAGUGAUGAGGGAAGGGACAAGUGCUUCAAUAAUGGUCAACCAGUGCAUAUGCUUAGAAAUUGUCCAGUGGCCAAGGUUGCUUAGGGGGCAAACAAGGUUCCGAUUGCCUCUUCUUCAACUCGGACACAAAAGGGUUCACCAUCUUGCUUCGGCACUGGUCAAAACCGACUCUAUGCUCUCACUACCUACCAGGAGUCCGAGGCAUCCCUAAUGUCAUUAUUGGUACAUUGAAACUUUUUUCAUGUGAUGUGUACUAUUUACUUGAUCCCGGGUCCACUCUUUCUUAUGUGACCCCAUUUGUGGUUGUGCAUUUUUUAUUUGGUCCCGAGUAUAUUUUGGACCACUUUUCUAUUUCUAUCCUGGUGGGCGACUCUGUGGUUGCUACAAGAGUCUAUAAGGGUUGUGUGGUAACUAUGGGUGGUUGGGAGACUUUGGUAGAUCCGUUUGAAUUAGACAUCGUUAAUUCUGAUGUCAUAUUGGGGAUGGAUUAGUUCCACCCGUGCUAUGCUUCUCUAGAUUGUCUGAACCAUAAGGUCAUCUUUAAAUUCCCUACUGAGCUAGUUAUUGUGUGGGAGGGUGGUUCUCUAGGGUGCUAAUGAAAGGUUCCUACCGUAUCUUAAAACCCGAAGAUUAAUCUCUAAGGGGUGUCUCUACCAUCUGGUCUGGGAUAAAGAUUCUAAUGGAGGGUUCUUCUUUACAUUUUGUCCUAGUGGUGAAUGAAUUUUCUGAGGUUUCCCUUGAUGAUUGAUGACCUUCCUGGUGUUCCUUUUGAUAUGGAGAUUGAUUAAGGGAUUGAUAUGGUUUCGGACACUCGUCCUAUCUCUAUUCCCCCAUACAGAAUAACUCCAGCGAGUUAAAGAGCUUAAGGAGCAAUUAAAGCAUCUUUUAGACAAGGGUUUUAUCCAUCCUAGUGUAUCCCCAUGGGGUGCACGGGUGUUGUUCGUGCGUAAGAAGGAUGGGUCCCUUCAUAUGUGUAUUGAUUACCGACCAUUGAAUAAAGUAACGGUAAAAAAUAAAUACCCUCUUCCAAGGAUAAAUGAUUUGUUUGAUCGGCUUCAGGGUGCUAAGUUCUUCUCCAAGAUCGAUCUUCGAUCCGGGUAUCAUCAGUUAAAGAUUAUGGAGGUGGAUAUCCCUAAGACGGCCUUCUAUACCCGAUAUGGCCAUUUUGAGUUGUUGGUUAUGUCUUUUGGGUUGUUCAUGGACUUGAUGAAUAGGGUUUUUCGUAAGUUUCUGGGUUUGUUUGUCAUUGUAUUCAUAGACAAUAUUCUGGUAUACUCUAAGAGCGAGGUGGAUCAUGUCGAUCACCUCCGCAUUGUAUUGCAGACCCUGAAAAAUCAGCAGUUGUGUGCCAAAUUUUUGAAAUGCGAAUUUUGGUUUAACGCUGUCACUUUUUUGGGUUGUCAUAUCUAGUGAAAGGAUCAUGGUGAAUCCAUAGAAAGUUACAGUGGUUAAGAGGUGGCCUAGACCUAUGACUCCAGCCGAUAUUCGGAGAUUCUUAGGUUUAGCUUAUUAAUAUAGGAGAUUUGUGGAGAGUUUUCCACUAUAGCUUUCCCAUUGACUAAGUUAACUCUGAUGAAGGUAAAGUUUUUAUGGUCCGAUGCUUGUGAGGGUAGUUUUGUGAAACUGAAGAAUAAGCUGACUUCGACUCCGAUCUUGACCAUGCCUGAAGGCACUGAUGGCUUUAUAGUUUACUGCGAUGCAUCCCGUGUGGGGCUCGACUAUGUUUUGAUGCAACAUGGCAAAGUGAUAGCUUAUGCCUCCAGAUAGUUGAAGGUGCAUGAGAAGAAUUAUCCGACUCAUGACUUGGAGUUGUUGGCUGUGGUGUUUGCAUUGUAACUAUGGUGUCACGAUCUUUAUGAAGUGCAUGUGGAUAUCUUUUCAGAUCAUAAGAGACUAUAGUAUGUGUUUACCAGAAGGAGCUAAAUCUCAGUGAAAGGAGAUAACUUGAGCUGCUCAAGGACUAUGACAUGAGUCUGCACUACCAUCCAGGUAAAGCUAAUGUGGUUGUUGAUGCUCUUAGAAAGUUAUCAUUGGGAUUCUAUCUUAUGUAGAUAAGAAGAAGCGAGAAUUGGUGAGAGAUGUUCACUGUUUGGCUAACCUUGGAGUUUGCUUCUUGGACUCGAAAGAUGGUGAUGUGAUUGUAUAGGAGGUGGCAGAGUCAUCUCUUUGUGCUAAGGUGAAAGAGAAGCAAAUGUUAGAUCCUAUCUUGUUACAACUAAAGGUUUACAUAGAAGGGCAGAGAGUGAUGGCCUUUGAGGUUAGUGGUGAUGGUACCUUGCGGUGCUAAUGGAGAAUAUAUGUUCCUGAUGUAGAUGGAUUGUGAGAGAGGAUCUUAGCUGAGGUGCAUGAGUCACGUUCUACCAUUCAUCUUGGUUCGAUGAAGAUGUAUCAUGAUCUCAAGGAUAUCUAUUGGUGGAACAAUAUGAAGCGGGAUAUAGCUAGAUUUGUGGCUAAGUGCCUGGUGUGUCAGCAAGUAAAAGUUGAGCACUUGAGGGACAGGGGAUUGUAUAAAGAAAUUGAGUUGCCUGUGUGGAAGUGGGAAGUGAUCAAUAUGGAUUUCAUUACUGAUAUUUCUCAGUCUCAGAAUCAGUUUGAUUCAAUUUGGGGCAUUGUGGAUAGGAUGAAUUAGUCUGCUCACUUUUUGUUAGUGAAGACAAAAUUCUCGACGGAGGAUUAUGCCAAAUUGUUUAUUAAGGAAAUUGUGAAGUUGCAUGGGCCACCUAUUUCUAUCAAGUACGAUCGUGGUGCCCAGUUCUCAUCACACUUUUGGCAGCCAUUCAGAAAUGUUCGGGGACUAAAGUGAAUCUUAGUACGACUUUCCAGCCGCAAUUAGAUUGGCAAAAGAAAGGACUAUUCAGACAUUGAAAGAUAUGUCCCGAGAUAGCGUGAUUGACUGUUAUGAUAGUUGGGUUGAGCAUUUGCCUCUUAUAGAGUUUGUGUAUAAUAAUAGAUACCAUUCUAGCAUUAGGAUGGCUCCGUUUGAGACCUUGUAUGGUAGGAGGUGUAGGUCUCUUAUUAGGUGGUUCGAGGUUGGUGAGGCGGAGAUAUUUGGCCCGAAUUUGGUUCACCAAGCCAUAGAUAAGGUGAAGGUGAUUCAGGAUAGGAUCAAAGCCACCUAAAGUCUUCAAAAGUCUUAUGCGGAUAUGAGGCGUAGGAAGUUAGAUUUUGAGGUUGGGGAUAGGGUGUUCUUUAAGGUAUCUUCCAUGAAGAGGGUAAUGCGGUUAGGAAAGAAAGGGAAGCUCAGUCCCCAGUGUGCUGGUCCAUACUUGGUUUUGAGAAGGUUUGCAAUAUUGCGUAUGAGUUGGAGUUGCCCUCUCAUUUGAGCUCCAUUUACCCAGUGUUCCAUGUGUCUAUGUUGAGAAAGUGUGUGGGUGAUCCGUCACAAACUGUGCCUAUCAAUGAUAUUGGUAUUUUUGGAUUCCCAGUCUUACAAGGAAGUCCCUAUUGAAAUUUUUGACUGGCAAGUUCACUGGUUGCGGACCAUGGACGUAACUUUGGUAAAGGUUCUUUGGAAGAACCACAUGAUCGAAAAGGCAACUUGGGAAGCCGAAGAGGACAUGAAUUCCAAGUAUCCAUUCUUGUUUUCCUCUCUGAAAAAUCAUGCGUAAGGUAUGUAUUGGUCUUAACAUCUUUGUUUUCUGACUUUGUUAAAGGAAAAAUUGAUUUCCUUGGCAUCUUUGUUUACUAGCUUAGUUAAAGGUAAUAGUCGAGAUGUUAGGGUUUAAUCGUGAUAAACAAUGCCUUGUCCCAUCAUUCGAGGAUGAAUGAUCCAAAUGGGGAAGAAUUGAAACACCUUAGAUUUUGGCCCAUGGAAAUUUCUUAGGCUUUGAGCUCACUGCCUUGCUUACGACUUGACCAUACAAGUCAUGUAGUGUCUUGACGGGUUAGGUGACCUUAGUCAUAAGUUAUACAGUGGAUGGUAGUUGUGUUUUCUUUCUUGGUUACGACUUAGGUGAUAUGAGUCGUUAAUGGUAGUGACGAAUUGUUAGGACGAACCUUAACCAAAUCAGUAACUUAGUGGCUUGACUCUACUCUGAGUAGUAGUGGUUCACUAGGAGUCAUGAGAAUAGGUUACGAGUCGUGAGGUAAAGAUGUAGAUUGUCCAAUGUCUAACCUAUUUGUGUACUGUGUUGGUUACAACUAGACCCUAUGAGUCAUUGGGCCACAUUACAAGUAGGAUCUUGGAGUUGUAAGGUGGAAAGUGUAUGGGCGUCUUAACUCACUGUCUAGGAUACGACUCAAGGCUACGAGUCGUAUGAUAUGGUGACAAGUCAAUGGUUGACUCAUAACCAAGGAUGAAUUUUUACAGCUUUUAAGUGAGGAUAUUCUGGACAUUUCCCAUUUCAAGUCCCUUUGAUACCACAACUUAAAACCUUCUGUGGGACUUCAUUAACACCACAUUCCUAAUAAAAUCCUCUCAAGUUCUCUCUCAAACUCUUUGUUCAAGCUAAAGAUAGGGUUUCAUCAAGAUAAUCAAUUAGAGCUUUCAAGGGUAAUUUCUCUUUGUACUUCUUGGUGUCUAAGGCAUUUUACUCCUCCCUCAAUGUUAUUUUACUUAAAGUACAUAUUUUAAUAUAUGGCUUUCAUGAUAUUGUUGUGGUUUUGAAAUAAAGGUUGGGGCCUUUGAAUAUUUAAUGUUGAAUGAUGUUUUCCCAGGAUUUAAUUAAGGUUUUCCAUGUUUUAAAUAUGGUUUUGAACAUGUGGUUGCAUAGGUAUGGUGAUUAAACUUAAUAAUGUUAACUUCUCUAACUUGUGACUUUUGAAGUAGUUUUGACCCCAAUCCUGUUUUGUGAAACUUGUUAGUAGUUAUGAGAAAGGUGGGAAUUUGAAUUUUAAGGGUACAAUGGACUCCCCAAAGUGCUUGGUUUGACUUAUUUAUGAAACUAACGCAUUGUUUAAAUGGUUAAAUGGUUAAGAAUAGUUUUUGAAAACCUUGUGGGGUACACAGGAAUCCCCCAAGUGAUUAUAUAAUGAAAACCUUGUGGGGUACACGGAAUCCCCUAAGUGAUUUUAGCAAUGGAGUCUGCGGGGCAUAUGAGAAUCUCCUAAGUGUUGACUAAUGACAUUGCUUACAAGCUGUAGUCGGUAUGACAAUACCACUUUAUAAUGCCUUAAUAAUUGACUCCUGGAAUUGGUGGUUUGGUUAUGUGUAAAAUAUUUUAAUUGGGCAAUAAUAGGGGUUGUGAUAGCUAGUCGUGAAAGUGUGAGUCCGAUGGACGGACACUGGAAACUCAUGUUUGCUGACAUGAGGGUUGGUCUUGAUGACCAUGUGCUUGUGGGGUACAAAGGAAUCCCCCAAGUCUAUACAUGUAUAUAUGUAUCAUGGAGGGUGAAAGGUGCAUGGGAAUCCCCUGCCUUAGAUGAUAUCUCCGAUUCGUGUGGCUACACGCACUGGGUCCCAUUCAGGGGGUAACACUGGACCCAUAUAGCCCGUGGAUGAACUUAUGACGGUAAAGCUACACAAUCCAGGUUAAGGAUUUCAAUGCAUGCUAAACCUUGUUCCCUAUCCGGACACGGUAUAUAUGUAUAUAUAUGUGAUUACAUAUGGUUAUUUGACUUGAUUUUGAAUAGAUGGUGUUACUUUGUCUUUAUCCCUUAGUUACAUUCUAGCGUUCACACCGCUAACCGUCUCUAAGUGAUGUAUCCCCACGUGAUGCAAGAACCGGUCUUACUUCUACUCUCCCUACCCAGUGACUUGGUAAUUCGGGGAUAGCUUUUAAGUCUGACUAAAGUGGUGAGCUUCCAUACUCCAGAAGACCCUAUUUCAUGUUAUGGACUUCUUUAUAUUAUUUUUAUCUCUUUGGUUUUGGUUUUGGCUUUGGUUAAGGGCAUGUAUCGACUGGAUAUUAUUUUAUUUUGGUUAGAGGCUUUUCUGGAAUACUAUGGCAUGGUGGUGUCGGUAUUAGUGAUUGCAUUGGUAUUGGUAUUGGGAUUGGGAUUGGAUAGUUAAUUGAUUGUGGCUUUCGAUUUUAAUUUUAGACUUAAUUUAAUGUCUUUAAUUUAAUAUUGUCUUAUCUUGUUAUAUGUUCAGAAUUCAUCCGACAUGGGGAAUAGGGUGGUUAAUGGUUGGUGGUAUCCGGUCCUAGUUGGACUUGAGAUACCUGACACGACUAGAUCCUGGUUUGGGUCGUUUCAUGUAAUAAAAAAAGCAAAGGUUGAAUAUAACAGGUUUUUUAUUGGCAACAGGUUGGUCUGAAAGUAAAGAAAUACAAAGUUCUUUCAUUGUGUUGUUAAAGGUAGGAGAAACCGGCUGAAGAUUUCAAGAAUAUUAAAUAAUCAAGAUAGUUGGCUAGAACAUGAAAAUCAAAUUGCUGAUGAGGCUAUAUUAGUUUCUACCACGAGAAGUUUUCACAAGAGAGCGAUGUUUCUGCCUUCCCUUUAAUUGAUCAUAUUCCUGAGCUAGUUACUAAUGAGGACAAUGAUGUAUUAGAAGCUCCUCCUGAGAUGGAAAAGGUUAAACAGGUUAUGUUUAACUUAAUUGGAGAUAGUUCUUGUGGACCAGAUGACUUAUUUGGGAGGUUCUUUCCUAUUGAGACAUUGUUGGAGGUGAUAUUUUUAGACAGGUUUUGAGCUUUUUUGCAGGAUGUUCACUUCCUAAAUCUGUUACUCAUUCUAAUUUGGUUCUUAUUCCUAAAAAAGAUAAUGUGCAAUCUUCUUUAGACUUGAUACCUAUUAGUCUCAGUAAUUUUAUGAAUAAAAUCAUGUCCAGAAUUAUGCAUGAUGCAUGAUAGGCUGGAAAGCAUUCUACCUAGAUUGAUUUCUCCUGCUCAAUUAGGAUUUGUUGUAGGAAGGAGCAUUAUUGAAAUUUUUUGAUGACUCGGGAAUUGAUAGUAAAUAUUGGAAAAAGAGGGCACCCUUCUAAUAUUGUGAUGAAACUAGAUAUGGCUAAAGCAUGUGACAGGAUCUCUUAGUUUUUCUUGAUAAAAGUUAUGAGGAUAAUGGGCUUCUCUAAUAGGGUGAUUGAUGUGAUAUGGAGAUUCAUCUCUAAUAAUUAUUAUUCAAUACUAUUGAAUGGUCAAUCAACAGGUAUUUUUCACUCUAUUAACUGGUGAAGCAAAUAUGUCCUUUAUAUCCUGCCUUUUUUAUAUUGUCCGCAAAUGUGAUGACAAGGGCUCUCAAUCAGUUGUUUAAUGAUCAUGGUUUUGUUGAGUAUGGAAUGCCUAAGAGGAUCUCUAAUUUUAACCAUUUGGCAUAUGUUGAUGGUACAGUUAUUUUUUCCUCUUCAUUUAGGUAUUCAAUGGAGAACAUUAUGAAGAUUUUGCAAGAAUAUGAGCUAGAAUCUUGUCAGAAGGUGAAUAGGAACAAAAGCUUUUUCUACAUGUAUCAGAAUGCACCAAAGGGAGAGGUACAAAAUAUGGAGAAGAUUCCAGGUAUGAUAAAAAUCUCUUUUACUAUCAAAUUCUUGGCUACCUUUUAUCGCAUUCAAAUAAGAAGAAAUAACACUAUGCAAAGUUGAUGGACAAAGAUAAGAGUAAGUUUCAAGUUUCGAAAAGAGGCUAUUAUCCUUUGGAGGUAAAGAAGUUCUCAUCAAAAGUGUAAUGAAAAGAAUCCCAAUUUAUGUCUAUUCUAAAAUUGUUCCUCCUCAAAGUGUUACCAAAGAACUUCAGAGGAUUUUUUCUAAAUUCUUUUGGAAAAACAAGGCAGGAAAAGGCAAAUGUUGGGCUGCUUUGGAUAAGGUUUUAUUACCUAUGUUGCUCGGACUCGGCUGUUUUGCCGCCGAACCCGUCUCGACACGAGACUAAGGCGGGGAUGGGUGCUUUCGCCGUCUCCGAUUCGGUCAACCGAUUUCGGAGACGUUGAUCGAAAUAAAGAAGAAAUUUAACUGGAAACAUUGAAUAAUUAACCGGCAACUUACCUGAAUCUCAACCAACGACCACCGGAAUAGAAACGGCAUUGUCGGAAAUCAUCGGCGCAGACGUCGUACCACCUCAGGGUACCGGAAAUCAUCGCCGUACUCUAUCAUCGGCGUAGUCGUGUUUACAUAGUGACGGUUAUUUUUUUCCAAGUCAAAGUGUGUUUUGAAACUUGUCUUUUCUUUUUACUAUUUUUAAUUAAUAUUUAGUUCCUUUACUAUUAAUAAUUAAUUAAUAAUAAUCUAUUGCCAGCACUGUCUGUCGGUGAGUGUAUUUUACUUUGACAGCAUUAAAUUUAACUUCUUAAUUAUAUUUAUUUUUUAUUUUUAGUAAAUAAACGUGAGUUAUAAUUUUGGAAAAAUUUGUUAAUACAAAUACUAUUCCUAAUUGAAAAGUAAAAUCAGAAGACAAAAAUAACUAAAAAUAGCAAAUUAACUAAAAUAAAUAAAGUAUUUUUAGAAUAUCUUUAUAACUCUAUAUUUAUAAUAUUUAAUUUUUUUUAGCCGAAUCCCCGCACCCUUAUCCACACUCGGAUUCGCAUCCCCGAAUCUUAAAAUUUAUAUUUUGACGAAUCCGACUCUCGGAUUCGCACCCAUCUCGAAUACCCGCACCCGAGUCCGAGCAACUUAGUUUAUUACCCAUUCAAGAAGGGGGUUUGGGAUUCAGGGCUCUUAAUUAUCUGUCUCAAGCCUUGAAUGCUAAGUUGUAGUGGAGGUUUAGGACUCAAACUAACUUUUGGACUGAUUCCUUUUGGAGUAAGUACUAUGAGAAACAACUACCUACUUUGGUGCAAUGGAGAGGAGGAUCCUAAGUGUGGAAGGCUAUGUUGAAUGUCAGGGACAAGGUUGAACAAGAUUUGUGGUGGGAAUCUAAAAGUUGAACCUCUACAAUCUGGUUUGACAAUUGACCAAUACUGGUCCAUUGCUUAAAUAGCAGUCUAACAUUCAAACAUGUCACCCAUAAAAAGAAAUUACUGAAUUUAUUAGGGAAAAGGGUUGGAAUUAUAAGAACAUGGAGAAUGAGGUCCCUAAUCAUGUAGUGAAGCAUGUACGAGAUAACAAGAGAUAUUUAUGAUAUGAAGAUGUGAUGUAUAAACCUUGGUGGACAAAAAAUAGUAGGGGUAAGUUAACGACCAAAAGUGCUUGGGAUUUAUUAAGGGAAAAAACUGUUGGGAAUGACGAUUUAAAGGCUAUUUAGAUAAAAUGAUUGCCUUUUAAAUUUGCUUUCAUAAAUUGGAGAAUAUGGCAUUCUUUCAUUCCAGUUUCAGCAAUAAUGCACAAUUGGAAUUCAGAUAUUGUUGAAAGGUGUGGUUGUUGUAGCAAUCCGAAAAGAGAAACCAUCCAACAUAUAUUUGUUAACAGGGAGAUAGCUGACAAGUGUGGAAUUACUACUAUGGUGUAGUUGGUAUUGCAGAAUAAAGGAUUAAUCUAAAGCUGAGUAUGACACUGUGGAGGAAUAAUGAAGGAAAUUGCAAAAUAAAUAGUGUUCAAAGUGAUUUAUAUGAUAAUUUUUUGGUUUUCAUGGAAAAUAAGAAACACCUUACUUCAUGGUGGUUCUUAUGAUGAAAACAAGAUAAUUUGGGAGAUUAAUGAUACCAUUAUUAAGUUCACCAAGAUUAGGCUUCAUAUGGACAUAUCAGAAAGAGAGUGGGCUAAUAUUGUUGAUGUUCUACAGAGUUACAGAAGUUCCUAUUCUUUUAAAGAGGUUAAAUGGAUGCCCCCCGAAACUGGUUGGGUAAAAGGAAACACAGAUGGUGCUUCAAAAGGAAAUCCUAGGCUUAGCUCUACUUCUUUUGUAUUACAAAUCAUGUUGGUGAAUUAGUGGUGGCAAAAGGGUGCCGAAUCAAAGAUACCAAUAGCCUAAUGGUUGAAGCCUUGGCAAUAAGGGACUGCCUAUAGUAAUGUACGUAGAUUGUUUUGGAGCAUGUUUCAAAUACUAAAGAAUGAUUGGGAAGUGCCAUGGAGUGUGCCAAUGGUGGUCAACUCCAUUAGAGUACUGAUGGAUACCAUAUCAGCAAGAGUGGUACAUUUCCUUCGGGAAGGUAACACUCUAGCUUUUUAUUUUACUAAUUUAGUAUUUGUUUUUGCAGGUGAUUUUGAAUUCAACAAUUUAGAACAAAAUCUAGUGGAAUGAAGGAGUAUUAUCAGAUUAGAUAAGGCAAGUACACCUAAUAUUAGAAGGACUACUCAUGAUCCAGAAUAACAAUAUCAGCAAUAGGAAAUAAAUGAAGAAGGAUCAUGAAAUAUCUAGUUCAGAAACAUCACAGAUGUAGGAUUUUAAGCACUAUCAAAUCUAUAGUCGAGGGAAACAGUUCAUAGCAUGAAUAGGAUUGAUUUCACAACUCUGUAAUUUGGAAUUCAGUAGUCAGCAGUCUUUAAUUAGACCUUAAACAUGGAAGUAAAUCAGUGAAAAUAGGGUUUACACAUUCUCCAGAUAGGAAUGAACAUAGAAAUGUUUGUACCUGUUGUUUGAAGUGACUUCCACCGAAUAUCAACACCUACAUCCAGUGAUAGUUUGGGACAUUUUAGGGUCGUGUAUUCAAACAUAAGUAACAUCAGAUCUAGCUUGAGCAUUUCGAGUUGAAGGUUGGACUAAUCCCAUUACACAAACAUAUGAUUUAUCAAGGACCUUUGUUAUUAUUGAUUCAUUCUUAUUAGCUCAGGUAUGGUAUUAUUUAAUACGAGAUCGAGAUGGAUGUCUUCUGAGCACCAUAACCAACUCAAAAGAGAAUGAAGAAAGUAAGAGAAAAGGUUGGUUACUUAUCUAAUGCGAGAUGGAGAUGGAUCUCUUCUCAGCACUAUAACCAACUCAAUCUCACCAUGGGCACAACUCAUAAGGUCGAAGAAGACAAAUCAACAGCUAGGUUAGAGAGGAAGAACUAGAGUUCUCUCCUUUUCCUAAUUCUGAUGUGAGGGACAGUUGACUUGUCUGAUUUUAUUAGUAUCGGGUUUGGGUCAGGCCACUUUUGGCCCUAUCUUUGUAAAUAUUUUGGACUCUUUCUUGGUUUAGUAAUAAAAGGAUAUAUAUAUAUAUAUAUAUCAAACUUAACUUUAAUGGAAUGAUUUUUU